rnacentral:tRNA from 1 species
AAAUCCGUCGACUUUAUAAAUCGUGAGGGUUCAAGUUUCUCUAUCCCCA